rnacentral:lncRNA from 1 species
AUCUGGGUGCCCUCUUCUGGAGUGUCUGAAGACAGCUACAGUGUACUUACAUAAAUAAAUAAAUCUUUUUUUAAAAAGUGUUUAAACAAACAAACAAACAAGAAGAGAUUAUUUCUGGUUUGAAACCAGAUUUGUUUUUCAGUUUUUUCUUGAUAAAGGUCCAUUCACUCUGCUUAAAAAAAAAAAAAAAAGAAAGAAAGAAAGAAAGAAAGAAAAAAGAAAAAGAAAGAAAGAAAGGCCUGGCUUAGUGGCAUGGCACACCUUUAAUCCCAGCAGAGACAGGUGGAUCCCUGAGUUCAAUGCCUCAUCUACAGACCAAGUUCUAGAACAGCCAGAGCUACAUAGUCUUCAAAACCAAAUAAAAUAAAAUAAAAUAAAAUAAAAUAAAAUAAAAUAGUAUAAAAUACCUGAGCCAUGUGUUGGUUACGUACUCUUUUAAUCCCAGCACUUGGGAGGCAGAAGCAGGUGGAUCUCUGAGUUUAAGGUCAACCUAGUUUACAGAGUGAAUUCCAGGACAGCCAGAGAUACACAGAGAACCCUUUCUCAAUAAAUAAAUAAAUAAGCAAGCAACUAAACAGAUAUAUAAAUGAAUAGACUAGAUUAAGUGGCUGGGUGUGUACCCACUUGCCUCUCAUUCCAACACUUGGGAGGCAGAGGUAGAUGGGUCUCUGAGUUCUAGACUAGCCAGGGCAACAGUGAGACCCUGUCUCAAAAUAAAUAAAUAAAAUAAUAAAAUAUAAAAAUAAAAAAGUUACUUAUAACCCAGUGUGGUGGCACACACUUGUAAUCUCGGCACCAAGGAAGUUUGGACAAGGAGUGAGUUGUGAAUUCAAGGACCUGGGCCAUAUAGUGAGACACUGUCUCAAAAUCCUACUCCAGGGCUGGAGGAAUGGCUCAGCAGUUAAGAGUACUUACUAUCUGCUCCUCCAGAAGUCCAGAAUUCAAUUUCCAGCAACCACAUGGUGGCUAACAAUCGUCUAUAAUGGGAUCUGAUGGCCUCUUCUGUCUUGCGGGCAUACAUGCAAAUACAGCACUCAUGUACAUAAAUAAAUCUUUUCUUUUAAGCUGUACUAAAAACUUGCUUAUUCUUCUGUAGCCUUGGUGCUCCUUUCCUUCAGUUAUUUUGUUAGGUGUUUCCUUUUUAUCUUGGUUUGGUUGUUCGGGGGAGGUUGUUUUCAAGACAGGGUUUCUCUGUAUAGCCCUGGCUGUCCUGGCACUUGCUCUGUAGACCAGGCUGGCCUCUAAUUUGCAGAGAUUCGCCUGCCUCUGACUCCUGCGUGCUGGGAUUAAAAGGGUUCACUACCACGGCUCAACUGCAUGCUGAACUCUUUAUAAAUAUAAACAAAACUAGCCGGGGGCUGGAGAGAUGGCUUUUACAGACAUCCCAAGUUUGGUUCCCAACACCCACAUCAGGCAGUUCAUAUCUCCCUCUACCUCUGGCUCCAGGGGUGCUAAUACCCUCCUCUGGUCUCCCCUGACACCAGGCACAAACAUGUUAUACACAUACAUACAUGCAAGCAAAAACAAUCAUAC